UACGAAGGGGGCUAGCGUUGCUCGGAAUUACUGGGCGUAAAGGGCGCGUAGGCGGAUAUUUAAGUUGGGGGUGAAAUCCCGGGGCUCAACCUCGGAAUUGCCUUCAAAACUGGAUAUCUUGAGGCCGGGAGAGGUGAGUGGAAUUCCCAGUGUAGCGGUGAAAUGCGUAGAUAUUGGGAGGAACACCAGUGGCGAAGGCGGCUCACUGGACCGGUUCUGACGCUGAGGCGCGAAAGCGUGGGGAGCAAACGGG
rnacentral:rRNA from 1 species